rnacentral:rRNA from 1 species
UACCAGCACCCCGAGUGGUCGGGACGUUUAUUGGGCCUAAAGCAUCCGUAGCCGGUCCUACAAGUCUUCCGUUAAAUCCACCUGCUUAACAGAUGGGCUGCGGAAGAUACUAUAGGGCUAGGAGGCGGGAGAGGCAAGCGGUACUCAGUGGGUAGGGGUAAAAUCCUCUGAUCCAUUGAAGACCACCAGUGGCGAAGGCGGCUUGCCAGAACGCGCUCGACGGUGAGGGAUGAAAGCUGGGGGAGCAAACCGG